rnacentral:rRNA from 1 species
GAUGAACGCUGGCGGCGUGCCUAAUACAUGCAAGUCGAGCGAACAGACGAGGAGCUUGCUCCUCUGACGUUAGCGGCGGACGGGUGAGUAACACGUGGAUAACCUACCUAUAAGACUGGGAUAACUUCGGGAAACCGGAGCUAAUACCGGAUAAUAUAUUGAACCGCAUGGUUCAAUAGUGAAAGACGGUUUUGCUGUCACUUAUAGAUGGAUCCGCGCCGCAUUAGCUAGUUGGUAAGGUAACGGCUUACCAAGGCGACGAUGCGUAGCCGACCUGAGAGGGGGCUGGCCCCCUGUGGAACUGACACGCGGCCCAGCCCCCUAGGGGGGGCACCAGUAGGAAAUCUUCCCAAUGGGGGGAAAGCUUGAAGGAGGAACGCCGGGGGAGUGAAGAAGGUCUGCGGUACGUAAAACUUUUUUUUGGGGGAAAAAAAAAUGUGUAAGUAACGAAGCCCGUUUGGAGGUAACCUAAUAAGAAACCCCGGGUAAAUACGUG